GAUGAACGCUGGCGGCGUGCCUAAUACAUGCAAGUCGAGCGAACAGACGAGGAGCUUGCUCCUCUGACGUUAGCGGCGGACGGGUGAGUAACACGUGGAUAACCUACCUAUAAGACUGGGAUAACUUCGGGAAACCGGAGCUAAUACCGGAUAAUAUAUUGAACCGCAUGGUUCAAUAGUGAAAGACGGUUUUGCUGUCACUUAUGGAUGGAUCCGCGCCGCAUUAGCUAGUUGGUAAGGUAACGGCUUACCAAGGCAACGAUGCGUAGCCGACCUGAGAGGGUGAUCGGCCACACUGGAACUGAGACACGGUCCAGACUCCUACGUGAGGCAGCAGUAGGGAAUCUUCCGCAAUGGGCGAAAGCCUGACGGAGCAACGCCGCGUGAGUGAUGAAGGUCUUCGGAUCGUAAAACUCUGUUAUUAGGGAAGAACAAAUGUGUAAGUAACUAUGCACGUCUUGACGGUACCUAAUCAGAAAGCCACGGCUAACUACGUG
rnacentral:rRNA from 1 species